rnacentral:rRNA from 1 species
CCUACGGGGUGCAGCAGUGAGGAAUAUUGGUCAAUGGGCUUACGCCUGAACCAGCCAAGUCGCGUGAGGGAAGACUGCCCUAUGGGUUGUAAACCUCUUUUGUCAGGGAGCAAUUGGCGCUACGUGUAGCGUUAUCGAGAGUACCUGAAGAAAAAGCAUCGGCUAACUCCGUGCCAGCAGCCGCUGUAAUACGGAGGAUGCGAGCGUUAUCCGGAUUGAUUGGGUUUAAAGGGUGAGUAGGCGGAAUGCCAAGUCAGCGGUAAAAUCGCGGGGCUCAACCUCGCUCCGCCGUUGAAACUGGCGUUCUUGAGUGGGCGAGAAGUAUGCGGAAUGCGUGGUGUAGCGGUGAAAUGCAUAGAUAUCACGCAGAACUCCGAUUGCGAAGGCAGCAUACCGGCGCCCAACUGACGCUGAAGCACGAAAGCGUGGGUAUCGAACAGGAUUAGAUACCCGUGUAGUC